AUUAUUGUACCGUAAAUCUUGGAAACGCUGGAACUAAUUACGGAGAGGAUAUGUCUCAAUUUGUUCCGCAUUAGUGCCGCGCCGGGACGCAGGCACCGAGCACGGGAAAUUGAUGGGCCCGGCCCGGGCCGGCCCCGGCGGGACUGGCGGCCCUGACCCCGCGUUCAACCCGGGGGC
rnacentral:lncRNA from 1 species